rnacentral:rRNA from 1 species
UCAAGUUACUAAGAGCAGAUGGUGGAUGCCUUGGCACCAAGAGCCGAUGAAGGACGUAGGAGGCUGCGAUAAGCCUCGGGGAGCUGUCAACCGAGCUGUGAUCCGGGGAUGUCCGAAUGGGGAAACCCAGCUGGAGUCAUGUCCAGUUACCCAUGCCUGAACACAUAGGGCAUGCGGCGGGAACGUGGGGAAGUGAAACAUCUCAGUACCCACAGGAAGAGAAAACAACAGUGAUUCCGCGAGUAGUGGCGAGCGAAAGUGGAAGAGGCUAAACCGUAUCCGCGUGAUAGCCGGCAGGCGUUGCGAAUACGGGGUUGUGGGGCCGUUCUGAGGAUUCUGCCGAAUCCUCGAAGAGUCAGAAAUCCAGGAUGUAGUCGAAGACUUUGGAAAGAGUCGGCAUAGCGGGUAACACCCCCGUAGACGAAACAUCUUGGACUCUUGAGCGAUACCCCAAGUAGCACGGGGCCCGAGAAAUCUCGUGCGAAUCUGGCGGGACCACCCGCUAAGCCUAAAUACUCCUUGGUGACCGAUAGCGGACAAGUACCGUGAGGGAAAGGUGAAAAGUACCCCGGGAGGGGAGUGAAAUAGUACCUGAAACCGUGUGCCUACAAGCCGUAGGAGCGUCUUGAGAGCUUGCUCUCUCCGUGACUGCGUGCCUUUUGAAGAAUGAGCCUGCGAGUUAGCGGUGUGUGGCGAGGUUAACCCGAGUGGGGUAGCCGUAGCGAAAGCGAGUCUGAAUAGGGCGAUUCAGUCGCACACUCUAGACCCGAAGCGGAGUGAUCUACCCAUGGCCAGGGUGAAGCGACGGUAAGACGUCGUGGAGGCCCGAACCCACCAAAGUUGAAAAUUUGGGGGAUGAGCUGUGGGUAGGGGUGAAAGGCCAAUCAAACUCCGUGAUAGCUGGUUCUCCCCGAAAUGCAUUUAGGUGCAGCGUCAUGUGUUUCUUGCCGGAGGUAGAGCUACUGGAUGGGCUAGGGGGCCUACAAGCUUACUGAACUCAGCCAAACUCCGAAUGCCGGCAAGUCAGAACAUGGCAGUGAGACUGCGGGGGAUAAGCUUCGUAGUCGAGAGGGAAACAGCCCAGACCACCAACUAAGGCCCCUAAGCGUGUGCUAAGUGGGAAAGGAUGUGGAGUCGCAUAGACAACCAGGAGGUUGGCUUAGAAGCAGCCACCCUUGAAAGAGUGCGUAAUAGCUCACUGGUCAAGUGAUUCCGCGCCGACAAUUUAGCGGGGCUCAAGCACACCGCCGAAGUUGUGGCAUUCACACACCUGCUAGGCCUUCGUGGUCCAAGCGUGUGGAUGGGUAGGGGAGCGUCGUGUGGCGAGCGAAGCGGCCGGGUAACCGAGCCGUGGAUGCCACACGAGUGAGAAUGCAGGCAUGAGUAGCGAAAGACGGGUGAGAAACCCGUCCGCCGAAUGACCAAGGGUUCCAGGGCCAGGCUAAUCCGCCCUGGGUAAGUCGGGACCUAAGACGAGGCCGACAGGCGUAGUCGAUGGACAACGGGUUGAUAUUCCCGUACCGGCUGUACCGCGACCCUGCCGAGGCAGAGGAUGCUAAGCGUCCGAAUCCGCUGCGACCUUCGGGUCAAGGUGGAGGAGCACGCGAACCGAAUCUGUAGUAGGCAAGCAAUGGGGUGACGCAGGAAGGUAGCUCAACCCGGGCGAUGGUUGUCCCGGGGUAAGGAUGUAGGGCGAGACGUAGGCAAAUCCGCGUCUCACAUGCCUGAGAUCUGACGCCGAGCCGAUUAAGGCGAAGUGAGUGAUCCUAUGCUGCCGAGAAAAGCCUCUAGCGAGUUGUACAGCCGCCCGUACCCCAAACCGACACAGGUGGUCAGGUAGAGAAUACCAAGGCGAUCGAGAGAACUGUGGUUAAGGAACUCGGCAAAAUACCCCCGUAACUUCGGGAGAAGGGGGGCCGAUUGAUGUGACGGGACUUGCUCCCUGAGCACCGGUUGGCCGCAGAGACCAGGCCCAAGCGACUGUUUACUAAAAACAUAGGUCCAUGCGAAGUCGCAAGACGAUGUAUAUGGACUGACGCCUGCCCGGUGCUGGAACGUUAAGGGGACGGGUUAGCGACUUCGGUCGCGAAGCUCAGAACUUAAGCGCCAGUAAACGGCGGUGGUAACUAUAACCAUCCUAAGGUAGCGAAAUUCCUUGUCGGGUAAGUUCCGACCUGCACGAAUGGCGUAACGACUUGGGCGCUGUCUCAACCACAGACUCGGCGAAAUUGCACUACGAGUAAAGAUGCUCGUUACGCGCGGCAGGACG